ACAACUUUCAGCAACGGAUCUCUUGGCUCUCGCAUCGAUGAAGAACGCAGCGAAAUGCGAUAAGUAAUGUGAAUUGCAGAAUUCAGUGAAUCAUCGAAUCUUUGAACGCACCUUGCGCUCCUUGGUAUUCCGAGGAGCAUGCCUGUUUGAGUGUCAUGGAAC
rnacentral:rRNA from 1 species